rnacentral:rRNA from 1 species
GUGCCAGCCGCGGCGGGUAAUACGUAGGUGGCAAGCGUUGUCCGGAUUUAUUGGGCGUAAAGGGAACGCAGGCGGUUUUUUAAGUCUGAUGUGAAAGCCUUCGGCUUAACCGAAGUCGUGCAUUGGAAACUGGGAGACUUGAGUGCAGAAGAGGAGAGUGGAACUCCAUGUGUAGCGGUGAAAUGCGUAGAUAUAUGGGAAGAACACCAGUGGCGAAAGCGGCUCUCUGGUCUGUAACUGACGCUGAGGUUCGAAAGCGUGGGUAGCAAACAGGAUUAGAUACCCUGGUAGUCCACGCUGUAAACGAUGAAUGCUAAGUGUUGGAGGGUUUCCGCCCUUCAGUGCCGCAGCAAACGCAUUAAGCAUUCCGCCUGGGGAGUACGACCGCAAGGUUGAAACUCAAAGGAAUUGACGGGGCCGCACAAGCGGUGGAGCAUGUGGUUUAAUUCGAAGCAACGCGAAGAACCUUACCAGGUCUUGACAUCUUCUGAUAACCUAAGAGAUUAGGUGUUCCUCGGGACAGAAUGACAGGUGG